AGGUGGUAGGCUUUGAAGCAGGAACGCCAGUUUCUGUGGAGCCUCCCUUGAGAUACCACCCUUCGCACUCUUGAUGUCUAACCGCGGUCCGUUAUCCGGAUCCGGGACCCUGCGUGGCGGGUAGUUUGACUGGGGCGGUCGCCUCCUAAAGCGUAACGGAGGCGCGCGAAGGUUGGCUCAGAGCGGUCGGAAAUCGCUCGUUGAGUGCAAUGGCAGAAGCCAGCCUGACUGCAAGACUGACAAGUCGAGCAGAGUCGAAAGACGGCCAUAGUGAUCCGGUGGUCCCAAGUGGGAGGGCCAUCGCUCAACGGAUAAAA
rnacentral:rRNA from 1 species